CGUUCUCCUUUCAAAAAAUAAAAUUUAAAGCUAUUUAAAAAAGAACCAAAAAAAAAAAAAAACAACGAAGAAAAAAAGAAAUACAAAUUUGGAUGGUGAAAUACAACUUUGUGGUCCAAGUAUUCACCAAAAAAAGAAAAAAAGUGGGUUUCAUGCGGAGAGGGAGAAUGGUGAAGCAGAUAGUUCGGCGAUGGCUUCGAUCUCUCUCAUGAGUUUCUGGCAAUUCACCUUUCGCUGGUCGCAGCCGAGCUUUUCGAGCAUUUAAGUGUCAGUUAUGGUCGCAGAGCUCUGAUCAUUGAUGGCUUAACGCCGCUUGCUCAACUCUGCUCGUAUCCACUACCCUCGCGCCACUUUGGAGAUGUGGCCUGAUUUAAUUUCAAGGAUUAAGGGAGGUGGUAUAGAUGUGAUCCAAACUUAUGAUAAACAGCCAUGGUCAGUGAGCAUUUUACCUGACUUCAGGAACACCGUGCUCAACACUGCCCAGGUUUGUUUCAUUCCUUUGCAUUUGGUGGUGUUGAUAGCUCAAAUACUGAAACUAUCGGUGGAAGUGAUAGUUCAAAAUUAUUGACAAAAUGAGAUACAUGAGCUUUGUUGGAAAUGUAGAUAUACUUAACUGUGACUGUACCAGACAUUAGCUUUUCUGUUAGUGGUCCACUUACAGAAGUGCUAAAAGUGGUUCACUGGGAAACGGUAUUUAGAAUUAUCAUAAAUAUAAAGGCCACAGUUGAUAUGACUCUGACUUAUAAAAAGAUUAACUAGCUGUGAUUAAUCUUAUAUGUCCCUAUAAUGCUGAUUGGGAAAGCUUUACUGAUAGAAGAUCUAUUAGUUGCUGUAUGUUUGUUUUUGGAAAUUUAGCCACUUGUAGAUAGAUUCGGAAUGUUGUGGCAAGAUCUUAUAAAGAGGCUGAAUACGAUGCACUAAGUCAUAUAAUUUGGAUUUUCACUUGAUGUGGAUAAGGCUACUAUUUAUAUUUCAUGUUUUCUUUUAAUCAAUGUUUCAUGAGAGAACAAAGUAUAUUGAAUUCUACUGUGAAAACAAGAUUAUUGUACUAUUAACAUUGUUCUUUUGUUUGAAAUUUUGUUGAAAGUACUCUGAAAUUUUUGCUAAA